AUUGAACGCUGGCGGCAGGCUUAACACAUGCAAGUCGAGCGAGCGGCGGACGGGUGAGUAAUGUCUGGGAAACUGCCUGAUGGAGGGGGAUGAAUACUGGAAACGGUAGCAAAUACAGCAUACCAUCGGAUGUGCCCAGAUGGGAUUAGCUAGUAGGUGGGGUAAAGGCUCACCUAGGCGACGAUCCAUAGCUGGUCUGAGAGGCUGACCAGCCACCCUGGAACUGAGACACGGUCCAGACGCCUACGGGAGGGAGCAGUGGGGAAUAUUGCACAAUGGGCGCAAGUCUGAUGCAGCCAUGCCGCGUGUAUGAAGAAGGCCUUCGGGUUGUAAAGUACUGUCGUCUGGGAGGCGUUACCCGCAGAGGAAGCACCGGCUAACUCCGUGCCAGCCGCCGCGGUAAUAC
rnacentral:rRNA from 1 species